GGUUGCGAUCAUACCAGCACUAAUGCACCGGAUACCAUCAGAACUCCGCAGUUAAGCGUGCUUGGCGAGAGUAGUACUAGGAUGGGUGACCCCCUGGGAAGUCCUCGUGUUGCAACCC
rnacentral:rRNA from 1 species